rnacentral:siRNA from 1 species
UAACAGUCGUUACGAAUCGGUCCU